rnacentral:misc_RNA from 1 species
AAGAUCAUGGGAGCCGAGAAAAGAGCCAAAGGCAGAGUAACAGUAUGUUAGCUUUGGCAGGUUACAGAGCGCAACGAUGACAUGGCACAUCGGCGUCUCACUUGCGCUUUACACUCGCACCAAAUCAACAAUAGAAACUCAGUUCCCUCACUGUGGUUCCUUGCUUCUGGCCUGGCGGCACAAACAUUAAAAAACUAAACACAAUCAGAGAAAACACUAAUAGCCCUCGGUGAAGCUCGAACCAAGCAGAUCUGAAA